GAUGAACGCUGGCGGCGUGCUUAACACAUGCAAGUCCAACGGUGAAAGCGGAGCUUGCUCCGCUGGAUCAGUGGCGAACGGGUGAGUAACACGUGGGCAACCUGCCCCUCACUUCGGGAUAACUCCGGGAAACCGGGGCUAAUACCGGAUAUGACCUCCUUGGGCAUCCUUGGAGGUGGAAAGUUUUUCGGUGAGGGAUGGGCCCGCGGCCUAUCAGCUUGUUGGUGAGGUAGUGGCUCACCAAGGCGACGACGGGUAGCCGGCCGGAGAGGGCGACCGGCCACACUGGGACUGAGACACGGCCCAGACUCCUACGGGAGGCAGCAGUGGGGAAUAUUGCGCAAUGGGCGAAAGCCUGACGCAGCAGCGCCGCGUGCGGGAUGACGGCCUUCGGGUUGUAAACCGCUUUCAGCAGGGAAGAAGCCGCAAGGUGACGGUACCUGCAGAAGAAGCACCGGCUAACUACGUGCCAGCCGCCCCGUAA
rnacentral:rRNA from 1 species